UACGUAGGGUGCGAGCGUUUAAUCGGAAUUACUGGGCGUAAAGCGUGCGCAGGCGGUUCGUUGUGUCCGAUGUGAAAGCCCCGGGCUUAACCUGGGAAUGGCAUUGGAAACUGGCGGGCUUGAGUGCGGCAGAGGGGGGUGGAAUUCCGCGUGUAGCAGUGAAAUGCGUAGAGAUGCGGAGGAACACCGAUGGCGAAGGCGGUUCUCUGGGCCUUACCUGACGCUGAGGAGCGAAAGCGUGGGGAGCGAACAGG
rnacentral:rRNA from 1 species